CUUGCAAACUAAAGAUGGCGACCGGCGCACGGGUGAGUAACACGUAUCCAACCUGCCGAUAACUCGGGGAUAGCCUUUCGAAAGAAAGAUUAAUAUCCGAUAGUAUAUUAAAACCGCAUGGUUUUACUAUUAAAGAAUUUCGGUCAUCGAUGGGGAUGCGUUCCAUUAGGUUGUUGGCGGGGUAACGGCCCACCAAGCCUUCGAUGGAUAGGGGUUCUGAGAGGAAGGUCCCCCACAUUGGAACUGAGACACGGUCCAA
rnacentral:rRNA from 1 species